GUAGUGCUCCCUCCGUCUGGAAAUACUUGUCGUCAAAAUGAAUAAAAGGGGAUGUAUCUAAAUGUAUAUUAGUUCUAGAUACAUCUUUUUUAUCCAUUUUGUUGACAAGUAUUUUCGGAUGGAGGGAGUACUUG
rnacentral:pre_miRNA from 1 species